GACGAACGCUGGCGGCGUGCUUAACACAUGCAAGUCGAACGGAACGGCCCUGCUUUUGUGGGGUGCUCGAGUGGCGACCGGGUGAGUAACACGUGAGUAACCUGUCCUUGCCUUUGGGAUAACUUCAGGCAACUGGGGCUCAUACCGGAUAGGAGCUCCUGCUGCUUGGUGGGGGUUGGUAAGAUUCGGCGGUUGGGGAUGGACUAGCGGCUUAUCGGCUUGUUGGUUGGGUAGUGGCUUACCAUGGCAUGGAAAGGUAGCCGGCCUGGGAGGGGGACCGGCCACAUUGGGACUGAGAUACGACACAGACUCCAACGGGAGGCAACAGUGGAGAGUAUUGCACAGUAGGCGGAGGCCUGAUGCAGCAACGACGCGUGCGGGAUGACGUCCUUCGGGUUGUGAACCGCUGUCGCCUGUGACGAGGCGAUAGUGACGGUAAUGGGUAAAGAAGCACCGGCUAACUACGUG
rnacentral:rRNA from 1 species